rnacentral:lncRNA from 1 species
AGCUUGGGAAAUUAAACCUUGGUCAUUAGCGGGAGAAGAUUGUUCAAAGAUCGGGGAAUGAUCAACUAGGAACACUAGUAAAUGAAGGAUUAGUCGUUAACCUAUAAAGAACAAAAGUUAAAUGAUUUGUCAAGGUUAAUGAUUUUACAUACUCAAAGAACUGCGGUGUGAAUCUAGGCAAUGAUUCGUAAGUUGAUGAGUUUUUU